GAUGAACGCUGGCGGCGUGCCUAGUACAUGCAAGUCGAGCGAACGGACGAGAAGCUUGCUUCUCUGAUGUUAGCGGCGGACGGGUGAGUAACACGUGGAUAACCUACCUAUAAGACUGGGAUAACUUCGGGAAACCGUAGCUAAUACCGGAUAAUAUUUUGAACCGCAUGGUUCAAAAGUGAAAGACGGUCUUGCUGUCACUUAUAGAUGGAUCCGCGCUGCAUUAGCUAGUUGGUAAGGUAACGGCUUACCAAGGCAACGAUGCAUAGCCGACCUGAGAGGGUGAUCGGACACACUGGAACUGAGACACGGUCCAGACUCCUACGGGAGGCAGCAGUAGGGAAUCUUCCGCAAUGGGCGAAAGCCUGACGGAGCAACGCCGCGUGAGUGAUGAAGGUCUUCGGAUCGUAAAACUCUGUUAUUAGGGAAGAACAUAUGUGUAAGUAACUGUGCACAUCUUGACGGUACCUAAUCAGAAAGCCACGGCUAACUACGUG
rnacentral:rRNA from 1 species